UACGAAGGGGGCUAGCGUUGUUCGGAAUUACUGGGCGUAAAGCGCACGUAGGCGGAAUGGCCAGUUGGGGGUGAAAGCCCGGAGCUCAACUCCGGAAUUGCCUUCAAUACUGCCAUUCUUGAAUCCGUGAGAGGAUAGUGGAAUUCCUAGUGUAGAGGUGAAAUUCGUAGAUAUUAGGAGGAACACCAGUGGCGAAGGCG
rnacentral:rRNA from 1 species